CCGAGUCCAUGAUGAUGUAAAGUUAUCCCUGUCUGAAGGCAAAGAAGGGCCUUCCUGUGUGGAAUGUGGAUAUCUGAAAGUCGG
ensembl:snoRNA